AUUGAACGCUGGCGGCAGGCCUAACACAUGCAAGUCGAGCGGCUGCAGGGUGCUUGCUUGCGGAUACAGCGGGGGACGGGUGAGUGAGGCAGAAGAAUAUCCCUGUCUGUGUGUGAUAACGUCCGGAAACGGGCGCUCAUACGCCAAAAGUGCUGAGGGACAACGGGUGGGAUCAUCGGACCUUACGACCUCAGGUGAGCCUAGGUCGGAUUGGCUAGUUGGUGGGUUAAAGGCCGACCAAGGCGACGAUCCGUAGCUGGUCUGAGAGGAUGAUCAGUCACACUGGAACUGAGACACGGUCCAGACUCCUACGGGAGGCAGCAGUGGGGAAUAUUGGACAAUGGGCGCAAGCCUGAUCCAGCCAUGCCGCGUGUGUGAAGAAGGUCUUCGGGUUGUAAAGCACUUUUAUUUGGAAGGAAGAGCAGUAAGUUAAUACCUUGCUGUUUUGACGGUACCCACAGAAUAAGCACCGGCUAACUUCGUG
rnacentral:rRNA from 1 species